UACGUAGGGUCCUAGCGUUAUCCGGAUUUAUUGGGCGUAAAGCGUGCGCAGACGGUUUAUUAAGUAUGGAAUUAAAGCCCGGGGCUCAACCCCGGUUCGUUUCAUAAACUGAUAUGACUAGAGUGUAGUAGAGGCAAGUGGAAUUUCUAGUGUAGCGGUAAAAUGCGUAGAUAUUAGAAGGAACACCAGUGGCGAAGGCGACUUGCUGGGCUAUUACUGACGUUCAUGCACGAAAGCGUGGGGAGCAAAU
rnacentral:rRNA from 1 species